AUUGAACGCUGGCGGCAUGCUUUACACAUGCAAGUCGAACGGCAGCGCGGGCUUCGGCCUGGCGGCGAGUGGCGAACGGGUGGGUAAUACAUCGGAACGUGCCCAGUAGUGGGGGAUAGCUCGGCGAAAGCCGGAUUAAUACCGCAUACGACCUGAGGGUGAAAGCGGGGGAUCUUCGGACCUCGCGCUAUUGGAGCGGCCGAUGGCAGAUUAGCUAGUUGGAGGGGUAAAGGCCUACCAAGGCGACGAUCUGUAGCUGGUCUGAGAGGACGACCAGCCACACUGGGACUGAGACACGGCCCAGACUCCUACGGGAGGCAGCAGUGGGGAAUUUUGGACAAUGGGCGAAAGCCUGAUCCAGCAAUGCCGCGUGUGUGAUGAAGGCCUUCGGGUUGUAAAGCACUUUUGGCGGGAACGAAAAGGACUGUGCCAAUACCACGGUUCGAUGACGGUACCCGCAGAAUAAGCACCGGCUAACUACGUG
rnacentral:rRNA from 1 species